AGAGUUUGAUCCUGGCUCAGAACGAACGCUGGCGGCAGGCUUAACACAUGCAAGUCGAACGCCCCGCAAGGGGAGUGGCAGACGGGUGAGUAACGCGUGGGAAUCUACCGUACCCUACGGAAUAACGCAUGGAAACGUGUGCUAAUACCGUAUACGCCCUUCGGGGGAAAGAUUUAUCGGGGUACGAUGAGCCCGCGUUGGAUUAGCUAGUUGGUGGGGUAAAGGCCUACCAAGGCGACGAUCCAUAGCUGGUCUGAGAGGAUGAUCAGCCACAUUGGGACUGAGACACGGCCCAAACUCCUACGGGAGGCAGCAGUGGGGAAUAUUGGACAAUGGGCCCAAGCCUGAUCCAGCCAUGCCGCGUGAGUGAUGAAGGUCUUAGGAUUGUAAAGCUCUUUCACCGAUGAAGAUAAUGACGGUAGUCGGAGAAGAAGCCCCGGCUAACUUCGUGCCAGCAGCCGCGGUAAUACGAAGGGGGCUAGCGUUGUUCGGAAUUACUGGGCGUAAAGCGCACGUAGGCGGAUAUUUAAGUCAGGGGUGAAAUCCCGCAGCUCAACUGCGGAACUGCCUUUGAUACUGGGUAUCUCGAGUAUGGAAGAGGUGAGUGGAAUUCCGAGUGUAGAGGUGAAAUUCGUAGAUAUUCGGAGGAACACCAGUGGCGAAGGCGGCUCACUGGUCCAUUACUGACGCUGAGGUGCGA
rnacentral:rRNA from 1 species